rnacentral:rRNA from 1 species
GCUCAACCGGGGAGGGUCAUUGGAAACUGGGGAACUUGAGUGCAGAAGAGGAGAGUGGAAUUCCACGUGUAGCGGUGAAAUGCGUAGAGAUGUGGAGGAACACCAGUGGCGAAGGCGACUCUCUGGUCUGUAACUGACGCUGAGGCGCGAAAGCGUGGGGAGCGAACAGGAUUAGAUACCCUGGUAGUCCACGCCGUAAACGAUGAGUGCUAAGUGUUAGAGGGUUUCCGCCCUUUAGUGCUGCAGCAAACGCAUUAAGCACUCCGCCUGGGGAGUACGGUCGCAAGACUGAAACUCAAAGGAAUUGACGGGGGCCCGCACAAGCGGUGGAGCAUGUGGUUUAAUUCGAAGCAACGCGAAGAACCUUACCAGGUCUUGACAUCCUCUGACAACCCUAGAGAUAGGGCUUCCCCUUCGGGGGCAGUGUGACAGGUGGUGCAUGGUUGUCGUCAGCUCGUGUCGUGAGAUGUUGGGUUAAGUCCCGCAACGAGCGCAACCCUUGAUCUUAGUUGCCAGCAUUCAGUUGGGCACUCUAAGGUGACUGCCGGUGACAAACCGGAGGAAGGUGGGGAUGACGUCAAAUCAUCAUGCCCCUUAUGACCUGGGGCUACACACGUGCUACAAUGGGCAGAACAAAG